CGGGCUGGCCUCCCAGGCAGCAGAGACCUCCUUUUUCUUUCUUUUUGGGAAACGUACCUGGUCCUCAGGUCUUCUGCAGCUCACAGGGGUUGGCAUGAUUCUUCGCCAGGAUUUUUCUCCUGUAGGCGGUGGAAAGACUGUCUCUUCCCAUGGGGUCGCCUUCUGGGAAGACUGUGACUCUAGGCUGCCAGCAGGAUGGCUCACCGGGGGAUGGUUUGAGGGAAAGAAGUAGAGACUUGACUUCUGACACUCAAGACCAAGGCUGCUGCCACACUGGAAUAGGAUGGAGAGACUGCUCCUUGUAAGAACCAGGGAUAAUGCAUGUAAAGAACCCAGUCCUGUGCUGGCCCAUGGCAACUGCUGAAUGAAUAACAAUGUUAAUUACAACAGAAGCUCACAUGUAUGAUGUCAGGCCCAGAGGAUGGUGUGGACGAGCAAUAUGAAAAACUGUGUCCCAUUUGAGGAUAUAUGCCGUUGUGGACAGUAGAGAAUACAUGAUGCCUGUUCUGGAAAAAUGGGCCUCAUGUUAGUCAACCAUAGAAGAGACUGCAAAUUCCUGUUUUGGAUGUUACUGGGAAUGCCAGAAGAAUAUGACACACUUUUGUCACAUUCAGGAGCCUGCGGGCUCUGGGUUAGAGAGUUGAGACCAUUCCCAUCUGAUGAUGCACCGGAUGAGUGGUAGGCACAGUGAAAAGCAGAGUGAGAAUAGGGAGGUAAAGUAGGGGAGACCUAAGGACAAGACCAGAGGUUGAGUCCAGGUGGAGGAAGGCCUUAGACUGUGAGCAACAGGGCAUCGCUGAUGAAGCCAGCCAGAAGGAAAAAACGCAUGCCCCCAAACCAUUAGAGAAAACGGUGGCCAGAAUAUUGACCAACUACUAGGUGUUCCUACAGGAGUCAAGAGAUCAGUGAGGACUUUUGGGGACUGUGAGGUCUUCUGGGGACACUGGGAUCUGAGCCAAUCUCUAGGGGAUGAAGAGGACUUGGGUUGGGGAAGAAGGGAUGGGGAAGGCAUUCUAGUCAGGGGGAACAGUGCAGGCAAAGGCAGGAGAAGGGGGCUGAGCUCAGCAUCCUCAGAGCAUCACAUGGGGCUGCUCUGUUGGGCAGUAAGUGCCAUCUUGCUAUCGAGGAGGUGGCUCCAGGGUGCACAGGAGCCCUCACGGGGGUCUGAAUCCUGCCACUAUGUCCCCAGCAGAGUACCUCAUGUGUUGGAAAGGACAAAAUUGGUUUUUUUCAUAUGUAAGCUAAAAAAGUGGAUAAUUCCAUAGGGCCACGGGAACACCCGGAAGGGACAGGAACACCCCAAGGCCUGGGAGCUGGGGAGCUUUGGGUCUUUGUGCUGCCAGGACCUGGGAAUUCAGAGACCAGUCAAGGGGAGCAGCAAGAUCACCAUUCCUGGAGGGGUCCUACAGUUUUCCCUCCUCGGGAGAAGACAAGCACUGGGGGAAGUCUAGGUGUGUAGCAUGGGUGGGAGUAAAGUUGGCCAGCUGCAGAGGAGGUCCCAAUUUCUGGUAAGUGGCCUGUCUUUGGAUUUGUCUUCCGAGGUGGCUUGCUCUGUGGCUCCAUUCCCAUUGCUGCAUGAACAUGUCCACGCUUUCUGUGUUACUGGCUGAGCUGUGUCCCUUGUAUUCAUCUGC